rnacentral:rRNA from 1 species
GCGAAAGCGACGUUCAACCUCAAAAGAAGCAGAGGGGGCUUAGUGGUGGGGUGACUGCGUACCUUUUGUAUAAUGGGUCAGCGACUUAUAUUCUGUAGCAAGGUUAACCGAAUAGGGGAGCCGGAGGGAAACCGAGUCUUAACCGGGCGUUAAGUUGCAGGGUAUAGACCCGAAACCCGGUGAUCUAGCCAUGGGCAGGUUGAAGGUUGGGUAACACUAACUGGAGGACCGAACCGACUAAUGUUGAAAAAUUAGCGGAUGACCUGUGGCUGGGGGUGAAAGGCCAAUCAAACCGGGAGAUAGCUGGUUCUCCCCGAAAGCUAUUUAGGUAGCGCCUCGUGAAUUCAUCUCCGGGGGUAGAGCACUGUUUCGGCUAGGGGGCCAUCCCGGCUUACCAACCCGAUGCAAACUGCGAAUACCGGAGAAUGUUAUCACGGGAGACACACGGCGGGUGCUAACGUCCGUCGUGAAGAGGGAAACAACCCAGACCGCCAGCUAAGGUCCCAAAGUCAUGGUUAAGUGGGAAACGAUGUGGGAAGGCCCAGACAGCCAGGAUGUUGGCUUAGAAGCAGCCAUCAUUUAAAGAAAGCGUAAUAGCUCACUGGUCGAGUCGGCCUGCGCGGAAGAUGUAACGGGGCUAAACCAUG